rnacentral:rRNA from 1 species
AGAGUAUAUGGCGGAUGCCUAGACUAAAAAAGGCGAUGAAAGACGUAGCAUGGCGGCGAUACGUUUCGGGGAGGUGCCUAGCAACCUUUGAUCCGGAAAUUUCUGAAUGGGGAAACCCCUUUGAGUAUUCCUCAAAGACUCUAACGCUUGACGUUAGAGAGCAUACCCAGGGAAGUAAAACAUUUCAGUACCUGGAGGAAAAGAGAAAAAUAUUUAUUUUCUGAGUAGCGGCGAGCGAAAAGGAAAGAGCCCAAACCGUUUAUAGUAAUAUUUGCGGGGUUGUAAGGUGACAAUAUAGAUUUAUCUAGAGAAGUUACAAAAUGUGUUGUUAGAUCAAACUUCUGGAAAGGAGUGCCGUAGACGGUGAUAGCCCGGUGAUCGAAAAUUUCACAUCUUCUUUGUUGUCAUUCUUGAGUAACUCAAGACACGAAUAGCUUGAGCGAAUCCACCAGAACUAACUGGUAAGGCUAAAUACUUUUUUAGAUCGAUAGUGAACUAGUACCGUGAGGGAAAGGUGAAAAGAACCCCGAUAAGGGGAGUGAAAUAGACCUGAAACCAUAUACUUACAAGGAGUCGGAGCGGACGUGAUUUAUCACGAUCCGUCACGGCGUGCCUAUUGAAGAAUGAGCCAACGAGUUUAUCUAUGCUGCAGGCUAAGCUGUUAGAACAGUGGAGCCUUAGGGAAACCGAGUGUUAAUAGCGCGAAAUUUAUGUAGUCUAGAUAAGACCCGAAGCCAGGUGAGCUUGCCAUGAGCAGGAUGAAGUUUGUCGAAAGACAGAUGGAGGUCCGAACCGGUAGAUCGUACAACGUCUUCGGAUGACUUGUGGUAAGGAGUGAAAAGCUAAUCGAACCUGGUAAUAGCUGGUUCUCUCCGAAAUAGCUUUAGGGCUAGCGUUGCGUGUUCCUCUUGGGGGUAGAGCACUGGAAGGUUUCGACAGGGAGCAAUCUCGCGAAUUCUAUCAAACUCCGAAUACCAAGAGUUAAAAACGCAGCAGUUAGGCUAUGGGGGCGAAGCUCCAUCAGCCAAAAGGGAAACAGCCCAGAUCUCUAAUUAAGGUCCCUAAAUUUAUGUUAAGUGCAAAACAAGGAGGUGAAAUUUCUCUGACAAUGAGGAUGUUGGCUUAGAAGCAGCCAUCAUUUAAAGAAAGCGUAACAGCUCACUCAUCCAGAGAUUUCGCACCGAAAAUAAUCGGGGCUAAACAUAAUACCGAAAUUGAGGGCUUUCUUAUUCUUCGGAAUAAGGGAGCGGUAGGAGAGUUUUCCACUCAGCGUCGAAGCCAAAGGGGUGACCCAUGGUGGAGCGUGUGGAAGUAAGAAUGUUGGCACAAGUAACCGCAAGGAAGGUGAGAUCCCUUCCCGCCGAAAGAUUAAGGUUUCCUGGGCAAUGGUAAUCACCCCAGGGUUAGUCGGUCCUAAGGAGAUGGCGAUAGCCGCAUCCGAUGGGCACAGGGUUAAUAUUCCCUGACUUCUAUUGUAUUCGAUGAUAGGACGGAGUGUAGUAUAUAAAGCUCAUUAUUGGAUUUGAGUAUGUUAGUAAGGAUGUCUUCUAGGAAAAUCCGGAAGAUGACGUAAAAGUAACAUUCAAGCAAAGCAUAAAUGUUAGGGUUCGCCCUGAUAAAUUUUAUAGAGCGCACUUCCAAGAAAAGUAUCUAAGGUUAAUACAAAAGAAUCCGUACCGUAAACCGACACAGGUAAUCAGGUCGAGUAGACCAAGGCGAACGAGUGAGAGGUCUUCAAGGAACUCGGCAAAAAAGCAGCCGUAACUUUGGAAUAAGGCUUGCCCUUUUAAAUUUAUUUAAUAGGGCCGCAGCGAAAGUAUCUCUGGCAACUGUUUAUCAAAAACACAGCUCCCUGCGAACUCGUAAGAGGAUGUAUAGGGGGUGAUGCCUGACCAAUGCCAGAAGGUCAAAUAUCGGUGGUGUAUGUCGCAAGAUGUAUGCUGGCUGAUAUAAGCCCUGGUGAAUGUCGGCCGUAACUAUAACGGUCCUAAGGUAGCGAAGUACCUUGUCGGGUAAAUUCCGACGCGCACGAAUGGUGUAAUGACUGGAGAACUGUCUCGAAGACCUGCUCGGUGAAAAUACAAUACCGGUGAAGAUGCCGGUUACCUGCAGAUAGACGAAAAGACCCUAGAAGCUUUACUGCAGCUUGAUAUUGAGUGUAUGGUUAUUUUGCGUAGCAUAGAUGGGAGAGGUUUGAUGGUCACGAUCUCGGUUGUGAUCUACUCGUCAGUGAAAUACCAUUCUUUGUGACGAUAUAUUCUAAUCUCUAAGGCAAAAACUUAGAGAGACAGUAUCUGGUGGGUAGUUUUACUGGGGCGGUAUCCUCCUAAAGAGUAACGGAGGAGUUUAUUAAGGUUAGCUAGGCGCGAAUGGAAACCGUGCCGAUAGUGUAAUGGCACAAGCUAGCUUGACUGUAAGAGGUACAUCUCAAGCAGGUGCGAAAGCAGAACAUAGUGAUCCGACCAUUCGCAUUAGAUGCGGUGGAAGCUCAACGGAUAAAAGCUACUCUAGGGAUAACAGGCUAGUUCCGCCUAAGAGUUCAUAUCGACGGCGGAGUUCGGCACCUCGAUGUCGGCUCACCUUAUCCUGGUGGUGGAGAAGCUGCCAAGGGUUUAGCUGUUCGCUAAUUAAAAAGGUACGCGAGCUGGGUUCAAACCGUUAAGGUCAGAAUAGAGGUGUUUGUAAGUUUUGUGAAGGGUAAAAGUUCUUUAUUAAAUGCUAUAGUAGAUUAAUGGUGGUAGACCCCCUAAUUUUUAAUCAGGUGGUCGUUGGUUCGAAUCCGACCUGUAGCACGAAAAUAAAAAAGAUGAUGUAGCUCAAUUGGCUAGAGUAUUAGAAUGAAAAUCUAAGGGUUGU